rnacentral:rRNA from 1 species
GAUGAACGCUAGCGGGAGGCUUAACACAUGCAAGCCGAGGGGUAUAUUUCUUUCGGGAGAUAGAGACCGGCGCACGGGUGCGUAACGCGUAUGCAACUUGCCCUACUGAAAAGGAUAGCCCUUCGAAAGGAGGAUUAAUACUUUAUAAUAGAAAUCAUGGCAUCAUGAAUUUUUGAAAGAUUUAUCGCAGUAGGAUAGGCAUGCGUAAGAUUAGUUAGUUGGUGAGGUAACGGCUCACCAAGACGAUGAUCUUUAGGGGGCCUGAGAGGGUGAACCCCCACACUGGUACUGAGACACGGACCAGACUCCUACGGGAGGCAGCAGUGAGGAAUAUUGGACAAUGGGUGGAAGCCUGAUCCAGCCACCCCGCGUGUAGGAUGACGGCCUUAUGGGUUGUAAACUACUUUUAUCUGGGGAUAAACCUACUCACGUGUGAGUAGCUGAAGGUACCAGAAGAAUAAGCACCGGCUAACUCCGUGCCAGCCGCCGCAGUAAAAC